CCCAGACUCCUACGGGAGGCAGCAGUGGGGGAUAUUGCACAAUGGGGGGAACCCUGAUGCAGCGACGCCGCGUGGGUGAAGAAGCGCCUCGGCGCGUAAAGCCCUGUCAGCAGGGAAGAAAAUGACGGUACCUGAAGAAGAAGCCCCGGCUAACUACGUGCCAGCAGCCGCGGUAAUACGUAGGGGGCAAGCGUUAUCCGGAUUUACUGGGUGUAAAGGGGGCGCAGACGGCGAUGCAAGCCAGGAGUGAAAGCCCGGGGCCGAACCCCGGGACUGCUCUUGGAACUGCGUGGCUGGAGUGCAGGAGGGGCAGGCGGAAUUCCUGGUGUAGCGGUGAAAUGCGUAGAUAUCAGGAGGAACACCGGUGGCGAAGGCGGCCUGCUGGACUGCAACUGACGUUGAGGCCCGAAAGCGUGGGGAUCAAACAGGAUUAGAUACCCGUGUA
rnacentral:rRNA from 1 species